rnacentral:rRNA from 1 species
AUUGAACGCUGGCGGCAUGCCUUACACAUGCAAGUCGAACGGCAGCACGGGAGCAAUCCUGGUGGCGAGUGGCGAACGGGUGAGUAAUAUAUCGGAACGUGCCCAGUCGUGGGGGAUAACGUAGCGAAAGCUACGCUAAUACCGCAUACGAUCUAUGGAUGAAAGCGGGGGAGUCGCAAGACCUCGCGCGAUUGGAGCGGCCGAUAUCAGAUUAGGUAGUUGGUGGGGUAAAAGCCUACCAAGCCUUCGAUCUGUAGCUGGUCUGAGAGGACGACCAGCCACACUGGAACUGAGACACGGUCCAGACUCCUACGGGAGGCAGCAGUGGGGGAAUUUUGGACAAUGGGCGCAAGCCUGAUCCAGCAAUGCCGCGUGCAGGAUGAAGGCCUU